GGGGCAAUGCGGGNUGCUAUACAUGCAGUAGAACGCUGAAGAGAGGAGCUUGCUCUUCUUGGAUGAGUUGCGAACGGGUGAGUAACGCGUAGGUAACCUGCCUUGUAGCGGGGGAUAACUAUUGGAAACGAUAGCUAAUACCGCAUAACAAUGGAUGACACAUGUCAUUUAUUUGAAAGGGGCAAUUGCUCCACUACAAGAUGGACCUGCGUUGUAUUAGCUAGUAGGUGAGGUAAUGGCUCACCUAGGCGACGAUACAUAGCCGACCUGAGAGGGUGAUCGGCCACACUGGGACUGAGACACGGCCCAGACUCCUACGGGAGGCAGCAGUAGGGAAUCUUCGGCAAUGGGGGCAACCCUGACCGAGCAACGCCGCGUGAGUGAAGAAGGUUUUCGGAUCGUAAAGCUCUGUUGUAAGUCAAGAACGGGUGUGAGAGUGGAAAGUUCACACUGUGACGGUAGCUUACCAGAAAGGGACGGCUAACUACGUGCCAGCAGCCGCGGUAAUACGUAGGUCCCGAGCGUUGUCCGGAUUUAUUGGGCGUAAAGCGAGCGCAGGCGGUUUGAUAAGUCUGAAGUUAAAGGCUGUGGCUCAACCAUAGUUCGCUUUGGAAACUGUCAAACUUGAGUGCAGAAGGGGAGAGUGGAAUUCCAUGUGUAGCGGUGAAAUGCGUAGAUAUAUGGAGGAACACCGGUGGCGAAAGCGGCUCUCUGGUCUGUAACUGACGCUGAGGCUCGAAAGCGUGGGGAGCGAACAGGAUUAGAUACCCUGGUAGUCCACGCCGUAAACGAUGAGUGCUAGGUGUUGGAUCCUUUCCGGGAUUCAGUGCCGCAGCUAACGCAUUAAGCACUCCGCCUGGGGAGUACGACCGCAAGGUUGAAACUCAAAGGAAUUGACGGGGGCCCGCACAAGCGGUGGAGCAUGUGGUUUAAUUCGAAGCAACGCGAAGAACCUUACCAGGUCUUGACAUCCCGAUGCUAUUUCUAGAGAUAGAAAGUUACUUCGGUACAUCGGUGACAGGUGGUGCAUGGUUGUCGUCAGCUCGUGUCGUGAGAUGUUGGGUUAAGUCCCGCAACGAGCGCAACCCCUAUUGUUAGUUGCCAUCAUUCAGUUGGGCACUCUAGCGAGACUGCCGGUAAUAAACCGGAGGAAGGUGGGGAUGACGUCAAAUCAUCAUGCCCCUUAUGACCUGGGCUACACACGUGCUACAAUGGUUGGUACAACGAGUUGCGAGUCGGUGACGGCGAGCUAAUCUCUUAAAGCCAAUCUCAGUUCGGAUUGUAGGCUGCAACUCGCCUACAUGAAGUCGGAAUCGCUAGUAAUCGCGGAUCAGCACGCCGCGGUGAAUACGUUCCCGGGCCUUGUACACACCGCCCGUCACACCACGAGAGUUUGUAACACCCGAAGUCGGUGAGGUAACCUUUGGAGCCAGCCGCCUAAG
rnacentral:rRNA from 1 species